CGACUUGGAGGUUGUGCCCUUGAGGCGUGGCUUCCGGAGCUAACGCGUUAAGUCGACCGCCUGGGGAGUACGGCCGCAAGGUUAAAACUCAAAUGAAUUGACGGGGGCCCGCACGAGCGGUGGAGCAUGUGGUUUAAUUCGAUGCAACGCGAAGAACCUUACCUACUCUUGACAUCCAGAGAACUUUCCAGAGAUGGAUUGGUGCCUUCGGGAACUCUGAGACAGGUGCUGCAUGGCUGUCGUCAGCUCGUGUUGUGAAAUGCUGGGUUAAGUCCCGCAACGAGCGCAACCCUUAUCCUUUGUUGCCAGCGGUCCGGCCGUGAACUCAAAGGAGACUGCCAGUGAUAAACUGGAGGAAGGUGGGGAUGACGUCAAGUCAUCAUGGCCCUUACGAGUAGGGCUACACACCUGCUACAAUGGCGCAUACAAAGAGAAGCGACCUCGCGAGAGCAAGCGGACCUCAUAAAGUAUGUCGUAGUCCGGAUUGGAGUCUGCAACUCGACUCCAUGAAGUCGGAAUCGCUAGUAAUCGUAGAUCAGAAUGCUACGGUGAAUACGUUCCCGGGCCUUGUACACACCGCCCGUCACACCAUGGGAGUGGGUUGCAAAAGAAGUAGGUAGCUUAACCUUCGGGAGGGCGCUUACCACUUUGUGAUUCAUGACUGGGGUGAAGUCGUAACAAGGUACC
rnacentral:rRNA from 1 species